rnacentral:rRNA from 1 species
GAUGAACGCUGGCGGCGUGCCUAAUACAUGCAAGUCGAGCGAACGGACGAGAAGCUUGCUUCUCUGAUGUUAGCGGCGGACGGGUGAGUAACACGUGGAUAACCUACCUAUAAGACUGGGAUAACUUCGGGAAACCGGAGCUAAUACCGGAUAAUAUUUUGAACCGCAUGGUUCAAAAGUGAAAGACGGUCUUGCUGUCACUUAUAGAUGGAUCCGCGCUGCAUUAGCUAGUUGGUAAGGUAACGGCUUACCAAGGCAACGAUGCAUAGCCGACCUGAGAGGGGGAGCGGCCACAGGGGAAGUGGAACAGGAUCAAGCCCCCUCGGGGGGGCACCAGUAGGAAAUCUUCGGAAGUGGGGGAAAGCCUGAGGAAGCAGCGCGGGGGGAGGAAGAAAGGUCUCGGUAUCGUAAAACUCUUUUAUGGGGGAAAAAAAUAUUUGUAAGUAACGGUACAAAUUUUGACGUUACCUAAUAAAAAAGCAACGGCUAACUACGUG